UACGGAGGGAGCUAGCGUUGUUCGGAAUUACUGGGCGUAAAGCGCGCGUAGGCGGCUUUGUAAGUUAGAGGUGAAAGCCCGGGGCUCAACCCCGGAACUGCCUUUAAAACUGCAUCGCUGGAAUCCGGGAGAGGUGAGUGGAAUUCCGAGUGUAGAGGUGAAAUUCGUAGAUAUUCGGAAGAACACCAGUGGCGAAGGCGACUUACUGGACGAUUGUUGACGCUGAGGUGCGAAAGCGUGGGGAGCAAACAGG
rnacentral:rRNA from 1 species